GUAAGGAAUAUUGGACAAUGGGGGGAACCCUGAUCCAGCCAUGCCGCGUGUGUGAAGAAGGCCUUUUGGUUGUAAAGCACUUUAAGCGAGGAGGAGGCUACCGAGAUUAAUACUCUUGGAUAGUGGACGUUACUCGCAGAAUAAGCACCGGCUAACUCUGUGCCAGCAGCCGCGGUAAUACAGAGGGUGCAAGCGUUAAUCGGAUUUACUGGGCGUAAAGCGCGCGUAGGUGGCCAAUUAAGUCAAAUGUGAAAUCCCCGAGCUUAACUUGGGAAUUGCAUUCGAUACUGGUUGGCUAGAGUAUGGGAGAGGAUGGUAGAAUUCCAGGUGUAGCGGUGAAAUGCGUAGAGAUCUGGAGGAAUACCGAUGGCGAAGGCAGCCAUCUGGCCUAAUACUGACACUGAGGUGCGAAAGCAUGGGGAGCAAACAGGAUUAGAUACCCUGGUAGUCC
rnacentral:rRNA from 1 species